rnacentral:lncRNA from 1 species
CUGCUCUUUGUCUCUCUCUCAAGUAAAUAAAUAAAUCCAAAAAAAAAAAAAAAAAAAAGACCUGUCAGGCUGGGUAGGUGCCGAAAAAAGGACCCCUGUCAGGCUGGGUUAGGGCCCACUUCUAAUAGCCUCAUUUUAACUUCUUUAAACGCCGUAUCUUCAUCAAGGUAUGGAUAUCAGAAGGGGACAAUCCAUCCCAGAGCACUACUGAAUAAGAACUACGAACACCAAUCCAUCCCCUAGGUGAAGGAAGGGGCGGUGAAGAGAAAACAGAGCUGUGUUACAAUCAACACGGCAGGGGCGCCCGGGGGGCUCAGCCGUUACGCUUCUGCCUUCGGCUCAGGUCAUGAUCCCAGGUCUGCGGUGGAGCCCCACAUCGGGCUCCCUGCUCUGCUGGGAGGCUGCUUCUCCCUCUCCCACUCCCCCUGCUUGUGUUCCCUCUGUCAAAUAAAUAAUUUUUUAAAAAAUUAUCAGCACAGCAAGUUUAGAUUUAAGCAUCCCCUGCAAAAUUUCAGAAAGGUCAUAUUGUCCUUUGUUAAAGAAAAAAAUAUCAGUCCUUCCUCUAGAAGCCGCUCAUUGAGUGCUGCUCUUGCCAGGCGCUGCGAGGGCAAAGCCGUAAAAGCGCAGGGACAAGGCCCCCUGCAAAGCAGGUGUUGCCUGAUGGACUCGAGAAGCCGUCGCCCUAGCGGUGGACGUUCGCGUAGUACUGGCCGCGCUCGACCCCCGCCCGGAAGGGGCUGGCAGCUCAGGCUGAGGAGGCCGCCCCAACCGCGACGGUGCCGCGGGGCCGGCCGGGGCGGCGGACAGCCGAGCUCUCAGCGGCGCCCACGCUCUUCAACUGCCGCGGGCCUGGAGAGCGAGAAGACGCACGCGCCGGCGGGCGCAGAACCGCGGGAGUGUCGCCGACGCGCUCGCGCCCGCGCCGAGCCGCCGCCGAGCGUGGCGCUCCGGACGCUAAAAGCCGGCUGGAAGGCCUCCGCGCACGCACGCCUCAGGGGCGGCAGUUUCGUUUCGAGUUUCUCAAAUCACGAGACAAGUGUGGGUCUUGCCCUGCUCACCGGCG